rnacentral:lncRNA from 1 species
GCUCCUCUGCUUCCAUUGCGACCGCCACAGGUAGCUCCUCCAUCUCCCUCCCCCUAUUCCUGUGCUCACUACUUCUCCUGCUAAGUUGACGAAUAUGUGAUGCACUUGUCCUAAGGAAUUUUAGAGGGAUCUGUAUGAAAAAGUCAUGUUUUUAUUUUAUUUUAUUUAGGUUGCUAGUUACCAAACAGAGAGAGAAGAUGAGCUCCUGCUUGGAUUUUUUUCUGCCAGCACAUGAUUUGUAUGUAUGCAAUCAUCAUCUUGCGUGUGCGAGCUGGUUCCUUGCUUGGGCAUUGCGUCGAUGACCAAGUGUUAGUGCCGAUUUGUUGUGGUGGUGCUCAUCUGGCCAUUGAUUUCUUGCUGAUAAUUAGGUGCUAAAGAAUGCUACAGGUUUAUUAGGAUGUGGCUGAAACCAUUGGAUGGCCUUCGUUGACUUGCUAUCAAUAUUGGUCUCAUGUUUUGUUUCCUUUCUGGACAUGUUAUGCUUCAAGUGUUGCUGCUAUUUAGUACUAAGUGCUUAACUUAACUAAGCUUGAGCUACUAAAACUCACUCUCAAAUUAAUGAAUUCCUGUUUUGCAAAACUUCAAUGUUGAGCUCCUCUCCUCUCCUCGCUGAGCCGUGGCCGUCGAUUUUCAUUUCGUCAACCACCACUCCAGCUACCUUCUUGUGUAAUCAAAUUUGCUCCUGUAUGUGUGUGUGUGUAGUUCAACACUAGUUUUCUUUCUAACUCAUUUCAUAUAUAUGGUUGAAAUUGUGCAGGUUCCAUGGUGCCAAGUGGCCUCUGGCCAUCUUGAACUGGAACUCCAGUAACAAGUAGAUGUUGCUGUCGUACUCAAUAUUUUAAGUUAUUUUUUAUUUUUUGAGAGAAGUGUAUUAGGUUGAUUAGAUUAAUUAGCUCAGCUUGCUAAAGUAGCAACAACAACAGCCGCGCUUUGCCAUCCACUUUAUACCUGGAUUGUACUUACAUGCUUAGAUAACCUUGUACGCAUAGCUGGUCUGUUUAAUUUAUAAAUGGUUAUCACUUGUUGCUGCAGGAGCAACGUUGCUGAUGGCGAUGGGUACGUGAUGGUGGCUAGUGUGGUGGACGACCCAGAAUAUGUGGCCUCGCAAGUGCACAUGUAUGUAGCUUUCCUCCUCAAAUGCUUCUGUUUCUGCCUCAGCUACUCAGCCAAUAAACACCAAAUCUGGAAUGAGAAAGAGGAUGAGGCCUACUUGAUUGGUGUUUUAACCAUUUUGUUCGUUCAUGCUGUGUGCAUUGAUUCCCAUGAACUAUAACCUGAUUUGAUGCUACCUUGUCUUUUUUUCAAUUGAUAUUUGUCUCAGCCAGCACUCUGACUAUAAAUGUGUUGUUUUAAUCCUGAUGAUGAUGUUGUAGUAUAAGGUGGACACCAUAUUCCUCUUUUAAUUCAAAAUGAAUAAUUAACUGGAGCAUGUUGUAGUUAUGACUUAGUUACUGAUGAUGAUGUAGAAGAUCUAAUCUUGCUUAAUCCUGAUGACUUAGUUACUAAGUUAUGACAUAUUCCUCUUCUACAUUCCUCUUUUAAUCCUGAUGAUGAUGUGGUUAGCUACUGAUUUCCUGCAUGUUUUGACUUAGUUUCUGGUGUGGAUAUGCAAUGUGACUUACAAUUACUAG